AGAGUUCGAUCCUGGCUCAGGAUGAACGCUGGCGGCGCGCCUAACACAUGCAAGUCGAACGGCACCCCUCUCCGGAGGGAAGCGAGUGGCGAACGGCUGAGUAACACGUGGAGAACCUGCCCCCUCCCCCGGGAUAGCCGCCCGAAAGGACGGGUAAUACCGGAUACCCCGGGGUGCCGCAUGGCACCCCGGCUAAAGCCCCGACGGGAGGGGAUGGCUCCGCGGCCCAUCAGGUAGACGGCGGGGUGACGGCCCACCGUGCCGACAACGGGUAGCCGGGUUGAGAGACCGACCGGCCAGAUUGGGACUGAGACACGGCCCAGACUCCUACGGGAGGCAGCAGUGGGGAAUCUUGCGCAAUGGGGGGAACCCUGACGCAGCGACGCCGCGUGCGGGACGGAGGCCUUCGGGUCGUAAACCGCUUUCAGCAGGGAAGAGUCAAGACUGUACCUGCAGAAGAAGCCCCGGCUAACUACGUGCCAGCAGCCGCGGUAAUACGUAGGGGGCGAGCGUUAUCCGGAUUCAUUGGGCGUAAAGCGCGCGUAGGCGGCCCGGCAGGCCGGGGGUCGAAGCGGGGGGCUCAACCCCCCGAAGCCCCCGGAACCUCCGCGGCUUGGGUCCGGUAGGGGAGGGUGGAACACCCGGUGUAGCGGUGGAAUGCGCAGAUAUCGGGUGGAACACCGGUGGCGAAGGCGGCCCUCUGGGCCGAGACCGACGCUGAGGCGCGAAAGCUGGGGGAGCGAACAGGAUUAGAUACCCUGGUAGUCCCAGCCGUAAACGAUGGACGCUAGGUGUGGGGGGACGAUCC
rnacentral:rRNA from 1 species